GAAGGAACCAAGUACAGGAAGUAACCAUCUCCCUGUCCCAUCUGUGGCAAAGUGUUCUCCUGCAGGAGCAACAUGAACAAACAUCUGUUGACUCAUGGUGACAAGAAGUACACCUGUGAGAUCUGCGGCAGGAAGUUCUUUCGUGUUGACGUCCUCCGGGACCACAUUCACGUGCACUUCAAGGACAUUGCUUUAAUG